AGNAAGNGAAAGANCGCCUGUUUAACAAAAACAUCACCUCUAGCAUCNCCAGUAUUAGAGGCANNNNCGCCUGUUUUNACAAAAACAUCUCCUUUUGAUUAUUAUUUAAGGUUUAAUCUGCUCAAUGAAUAUUAAAUUGCCGCGGUAUUUUGACCGUGCAAAGGUAGCAUAAUAAUUAGUUUCUUGAUUAGAAGCUUGAAUGAAUGAUUGGACGAGAAAAUUACUGUCUCUGUUUAAUUUAUUUUUGAAUUUUAUUUUUAAGUUAAAAAGCUUAAAUUUUAAUAAAAGACGAGAAGACCCUAUAGAGUUUGAUAUUUAGAAUUUAUUUAAUAUUAGAAAUUUUUUUAAAUUUUAUUUAUUUAGUUGGGGUGACUGGAGGAUUAAUAAAAUUCCUUUUUAUUUUAAUUGAUGAUUAUUAAAUUUGUUAUCUGAUUUUUUCAAAUAAAAAAUAAAUUACCUUAGGGAUAACAGCGUAAUUUUUCUUUAGAGUUCUUAUUGAAAGAAGAUUUUGCGACCUCGAUGUUGGAUUAAAAUAAAUUUUUGGUGUAGAAGCUAAAAAAUUAGGUCUGUUCGACCUUUAAUAUUUUACAUGAUCUGAGNUCAGACCGGNGNUUGUUCAACNAUUAAAGUCCUACAUGAUCUGAGUUCAGACCGGUCNUCUGUCAAUCCCUUCCG
rnacentral:rRNA from 1 species